UAGAGGAAGUAAAAGUCGUAACAAGGUUUCCGUAGGUGAACCUGCGGAAGGAUCAUUAUCGUAGGGCUUCGGCCCUGUCGAGAUAGAACCCUUGCCUUUUUGAGUACCUUUCGUUUCCUCGGCAGCCUCGGCUGCCAAUGGGGACCCCAAAAAACACUUUGCAGUACCUGUAACAGUCUGAACAAACAAACAAAAAUUAAAACUUUCAACAACGGAUCUCUUGGUUCUGGCAUCGAUGAAGAACGCAGCGAAAUGCGAUAAGUAGUGUGAAUUGCAGAAUUCAGUGAAUCAUCGAAUCUUUGAACGCACAUUGCGCCCUUUGGUAUUCCUUAGGGCAUGCCUGUUCGAGCGUCAUUUAAACCUUCAAGCUCAGCUUGGUGUUGGGUGACUGUCCGCCGCCCCCGGGCGCGUGGACUCGCCUCAAAAUUAUUGGCGGCCGGUACAUUGGCUUCGAGCGCAGCAGAAACGCGAACUCGGGCCCGUCGUAUUGGCUCCCAGAAGCUAUCUUCACAAUUUUGACCUCGGAUCAGGUAGGGAUACCCGCUGAACUUAAGCAUA
rnacentral:rRNA from 1 species